UACAGAGGGUGCGAGCGUUGUCCGGAAUCACUGGGCGUAAAGGGCGCGUAGGCGGCGCGGUAAGCGUGCGGUGAAAGCCCGGGGCUCAACCCCGGGUCGGCCGUGCGGACUGCCGGGCUGGAGCACUGUAGAGGCAGGUGGAAUUCCGGGUGUAGCGGUGGAAUGCGUAGAGAUCCGGAAGAACACCGGAGGCGAAGGCGGGUCUCUGGGCCGAUACUGACGCUGAGGAGCGAAAGCGUGGGGAGCGAACAGG
rnacentral:rRNA from 1 species